UACGAAGGGGGCUAGCGUUGCUCGGAAUCACUGGGCGUAAAGGGUGCGUAGGCGGGUCUUUAAGUCAGGGGUGAAAUCCUGGAGCUCAACUCCAGAACUGCCUUUGAUACUGAGGAUCUUGAGUUCGGGAGAGGUGAGGGGAACUGCGAGUGUAGAGGUGAAAUUCGUAGAUAUUCGCAAGAACCCCAGUGGCGAAGGCGGCUCACUGGCCCGAUACUGACGCUGAGGCACGAAAGCGUGGGGAGCAAACAGG
rnacentral:rRNA from 1 species